rnacentral:rRNA from 1 species
GACGAACGCUGGCGGCGUGCCUAAUACAUGCAAGUAGAACGCACAGUUUAUACCGUAGCUUGCUACACCAUAGACUGUGAGUUGCGAACGGGUGAGUAACGCGUAGGUAACCUGCCUGGUAGCGGGGGAUAACUAUUGGAAACGAUAGCUAAUACCGCAUAAUAUUAAUUAUUGCAUGAUAAUUAAUUGAAAGGUGCAAUUGCACCACUACCAGAUGGACCUGCGUUGUAUUAGCUAGUAGGUGAGGUAACGGCUCACCUAGGCGAGGAUACAUAGCCGACCUGAGAGGCGGAGAGGCACAGCUGGGACGGGGACACGACCCAGACUCCUGCGGGAGAGAGAAGGAGGGGAUCUUCGGGAAAGGAAGAAAGUCUGACCGAGCGACGCCGCGUGAGUGAAGAAGGUAUUCGGGUCGUAAAGGUCUGUUGUAAGAGAGGAACGGGUGUGAGAGUGGAAAGUUCAGACAGUGACGGUAGCUUACCAGAAAGCGACGGCUAACUACGUG